rnacentral:tRNA from 1 species
GGGGUUAUAGCUCAGUUGGUUAGAGCGCAUCGUUGACAUCGAUGAGGUCAGAGGUUCGAGUCCUCCUAACCCCA